rnacentral:tRNA from 1 species
CUUUUAAAGGAAACAAGCCCUCCAUUGGCCUUAGGAGCCA